rnacentral:rRNA from 1 species
UACAGAGGUCUCAAGCGUUGUUCGGAUUCAUUGGGCGUAAAGGGUGCGUAGGUGGCGCGGUAAGUCGGGUGUGAAAUUUCGGAGCUUAACUCCGAAACUGCAUUCGAUACUGCCGUGCUUGAGGACUGGAGAGGAGACUGGAAUUUACGGUGUAGCAGUGAAAUGCGUAGAGAUCGUAAGGAAGACCAGUGGCGAAGGCGGGUCUCUGGACAGUUCCUGACACUGAGGCACGAAGGCCAGGGGAGCAAACGGGG